GCAGAAGAUCAGGCGUUCGCUGGAUCUGAAAGGAUCUGGAGGAAAGUCCGGGCUCCGAAGGACACGGUGGUGGGUAACGCCCACCGUCCGCGAGGAUCGGGCAAGUGCAACAGAAAGCAAACCGCCGAACGCGAAUGCGAUGUCGAGCUUGUAUCGACUUCGUAUUCGGCGUGGUAAGGGUGAAACGGUGCGGUAAGAGCGCACCAGCGAUUCAGGUGACUGAGUCGGCUGGGUAAACCCCAUCGGGAGCAAGGCCAAGCAGAAGGAAUCACCGUCCUGCGACGGUGGCGAAGCGGUCCGUUUCGCUUGACCUUCGGGUAGGCCGCGUCAGGUGCCGAGCAAUCGGCAUCGCAGAUAAAUGAACGCCCUCGACAGAACCCGGCUUAUCGAUCUUCUGCCAGC
rnacentral:RNase_P_RNA from 1 species